GACAGAGGGUGCAACCGUUGUUCGGAAUUACUGGGCGUAAAGCGCGUGUAGGCGGCUUGGCAAGUCAGAUGUGAAAGCCCACGGCUCAACCGUGGAAGCGCAUCCGAAACGGCCUCGCUCGAGUCUCGGAGAGGAAGGUGGAAUGCUUGGUGUAGAGGUGAAAUUCGUAGAUAUCAAGCAGAACACCUGCGGCGAAGGCGGCCUUCUGGACGAUGACUGACGCUGAGACGCGAAAGCGUGGGGAGCAAACAGG
rnacentral:rRNA from 1 species